GCGGUUGGCCCGGGCGGGCCGGGGCCGGGCUCGGCGGGAGAGGGGCCGCGGCUCAGGCAGGCGAGUGCCCCCCGGCCCGGGGCGCCUGAGCAGGCCGGAGGGGCCACGGAGGAAAGGGAAACAAAGCAAAAAAAAAAAGAAAAAGAAAAAGAAAGAAAGAAAGAAAAGGAAAGGAAAGUUAAAUGGUAGAGAGAAAACCGAGCGAGCUGUCUAAAAACCCAGCUUCUCCCUCUACGUCCGAAGCGAUUUUCUUUCCACAUGCAGCACCUACCCCCGCCAAAAAAAAGCUCUCCCCCCCCAACGGAUUUUUGUUUUUAAGCAAGGAGAGAGUAGGAUAAAGCCGGGCGUUGAAGGAAGAGAGAGAAGCUGUCGCCAGCCGCGUCCUGGGAUCGCCCCGGAGCGGAACGACUCUAAAACACGGGACCGUCGCUCCGGCGGAAAAACUACGGGCAAAGCGGGUGCUGGAGCCGGCGGGUUUUUUCCCCGGGCGGGGGCAGGCGGGGGGGGGUCCGGCCGGGGGCUCGGGAGCCUCGCGAAGGAGCCGGGCUGCAGCCCGGGGCUCGCCGCGCUCCCGCCUGCCGCCGGGCUGCCCCGGGGCCGGGACACCCCCAGCGCCGCCGAGGCACUGGGGGCCGGGGGAGGGCGAUUUCCCCUCAUUCCCGCUGGAAGAGAAGGAUGUUUUCCUCUGCUGCUUAGCUUUCGUACUAAAGAUGUCAUCUGAAAGUCUGGAAGGAAGGGGGGAGCGGGUUCAGUUCUCUUCCACGGUAACAACCAUAUUCUGCAUAUUGAAAAAUAUGAUAGACAGUGGGGAAGGCUUUCUUUUUUUUAAAAAAAAAAAAAGCCCAACCUUUUCAAUAUUGAUUCAACAACAACAAAAAAUAGAGGGAGAUAAUUUUAAAAAGAGAAGAAGCAGCACCAGCAGCAGGGAGAAUAUAGGCUCAGCAACUCUCCAGGUUCGCUUCCUUAUUAUUACUAUCCAGGGGUAAUUUUUCAUCUCUGCUAGCUAAUCUUUGUUCCUUGUGAAGAUAAUGAAUAGCCCAAUCCUUAUCUCCUGGGCUCCUGGAGGCUGCUGGAGAAUGGGGUUGAACAGGGUUGAAAAUUGGUUCCAAAGUGCUGCUGAAUAAAUGGUGUUCCUUA